rnacentral:rRNA from 1 species
GACGAACGCUGGCGGCGUGCUUAAUGCAUGCAAGUCGCACGAGGCCCCAUCGACGGGUAACCGUCGCGGGGUACUAGUGGCGAACGGGUGAGUAACACGUGAGGAACCUGCCCCGGAGUCCGGGAUAGCCCAGGGAAACCUGGAUUAAUACCGGAUGCCCUCGACCGGUCGCAUGUCUGGUCGAGGAAAGGUACGCCGUUCCGGGAUGGCCUCGCGGCAUAUCAGCUUGUUGGUGAGGUAACGGCUCACCAAGGCAACGACGGGUAGCUGGUAUGAGAGGACAAUCAGCCACACUGGGGCUGAGACACGGCCCAGACUCCUACGGGAGGCAGCAGCAGGGAAUAUUGCACAAUGGGCGAAAGCCUGAUGCAGCGACGCCGCGGGAGGGAUGAAGGCCUCUGGGUCGUAAACCUCUUUCAGGAGGGAAGAAGCGCAAGUGACGGUACCUCCAGAAGAAGCCCCGGCCAACUACGUGCCAGCAGCCGCCGUAACAC